UACGAAGGGGGCUAGCGUUGCUCGGAAUCACUGGGCGUAAAGGGCGCGUAGGCGGGCGAGCGAGUCCGGGGUGAAAUCUUUCGGCUUAACCGGAAAAGGGCCUCGGAUACCGGUCGUCUCGAGGGAGGUAGGGGCAGCUGGAACUUCCGGUGGAGCGGUGAAAUGCGUAGAUAUCGGGAGGAACACCUGUGGCGAAGGCGGCCCCCUGGUUGGAUACUGACGCUGAUACGCGAAAGCGUGGGGAGCAAACAGG
rnacentral:rRNA from 1 species